rnacentral:rRNA from 1 species
UACAGAGGUCUCAAGCGUUUGUUCGGAUUCAUUGGGCGUAAAGGGCGCGUAGGCGGCGGGGUAAGUCGGGUGUGAAAUCUCAGAGCUCAACUCUGAAACUGCACUCGAUACUGCUCUGCUUGAGGACUGGAGAGGAGACUGGAAUUCACGGUGUAGCAGUGAAAUGCGUAGAUAUCGUGAGGAAGACCAGUGGCGAAGGCGGGGUCUCUGGACAGUUCCUGACGCUGAGGAGCGAAAGCGUGGGGAGCGAACAGG